GAACGCGCGCAAGCGUCCUUUCGUCACGCAAAUUAACAAAUCAACAUUACGUCCUAAAAACAGCCUACAGCUCAAUAAAAUUGAUCGUAACAAUAGUGUAAACGUUUGCUAAAUCAAAUAAUGUUAAGUUAAUUAAAGGGCACGAGAUAAUUAUCAGACCGUGACACGAGCCACCUCAUAUGAACUUUGGUUCAAUUGGUGAAAGUCCGCGCAUGCUCAAUGCAAUUUCGUGGUGUUUUAUCAACAUAACAAUUUCACAGCUCGUCUCAGUGACGCAGGGAGUUUCAUCCGCCGCCGGUUUUCCGGCUGGCACUAAAAUGCAUCCACUUUUAAUUUCCCUAGAAUUAAACCCUACCAUUAGAUAAAGAACUAUAAAUUAAAAUUCAAAUGACCUUUAAAGUUCUAUGUCAAUUGUUGUUUAGUGAUUAAGGAUAAUUAUGUAGAGGAAAUUGUUUUAGGUAAAUCUGUUAGCAGGUAGUAAAUAUAAACAUAAUGCCGGACUGGUGGUGGCUGGUAAUGGCGGCGCUGUUUGGAGCGGUAUCGGCGCUCGCCGUGCCGAUAGCAUUGUUCCUGUACUUUAUCCGGCCCUUCGAGAAGAAACCUCCCAUGGAGGAAGAUUUUAGCAUACCUAUUACUUUACCGCCCGAGAUCCUAAACGAAUUAACGCGCGGUGCGGGCAGUACUCCCGAAGGAGCUCUCAACGCAAUGCUCCAAUUCAUAUUCCAGCAGAGUACAGCGGAUACACGAUGGUUGCGAAGACGUAUGGCCAAUGAACUGGCUGAAUUACUAGCCAAAACUUCUUCUGGAAAGAUCUUCGAAUCGCUGACGUUGCGGUCAUUAGAAGUAGGUACAGAAUUUCCCAGCAUUUCCAACCUUCGUCUUGUAAGUGGCGAGCUUGAAGAAGACGGAGCUAGGCUGCGUUCCUUGGACUUGAGACUGGAUCUAGCAUAUGAUGGAAGUUUUAGAAUCGAAGUGGAUGCGGUUAUGCUUCUUGGAAAGAUAGCUAAUAUCUCUAUCACUGUUGAAAGCAUCAGCGGCAACGUCCGUGUGAUGUUCCGGCGCACUCCAUACACGCACUGGGCGCUCGCGUUCGAGACGCCUCCCAAACUGGAGCUGCGCGUGCGAGGCCGCUUCCAAGGGAGACAGCUCAAGCCGAGACUCGCCGCGCUAGUCGCCGCCCAUAUACGGCGAGCGGUCGCGCAGAGACACACGCUUCCUAAUUACAAAAUACGGUAUAAACCAUUCUUCCCGAAAUCUGAGCCAGGGAGUACAGAAGGUGAGGAUGGACCGACACCUCAUGGACGACUGACUGUGAGGCUGGUGGAAGUGAGCCGAUUGUACUGGUCGGGAAACAAUGGGAUUGUGCGAGCGGCCCUGGCGGUGGAUUCUCAUGCUUGGGUAUCGCUGCGGCGUGGCGUACUAGUACUAGACGUAGUGUUGCCAGCAGUAACAGGACCGCUUGGGCUCGUGUGUUGCCAGGGAGUGGGCGUAGUGUUAGUGGACACAGUGGUGCCAAUGUCACCGGCUUAUAGAGCUGAUUUGCGGCGAGAUGAUGUAGUACUGGCUAUUGAUAAUAAGCCAGUUGCCAAUGUCGCUCAGGUAGGUAAACUGCUCAGAAGUGUAGAAAGGCGUGCAGUAACAGUGCGGGUGAGGCGCGGUGGAGCGGGCGGCACUGCCCGCAGGGACGACGAGCCGAAACGACUGCGGACUAACUUCUCCUUCCGAAGGGUCUCGGAGGUCAUGGAGGGGGUACGACUGCAGGGCAUGCGGUCUGCGGCCUCUAAGAACAACAUACAUGAAACCGACUCCCCAUCGAAAACUAUAGAAGCCCAAAACGAGAAUGAUGUACAAGGGAAACAGAAAAUUGAAAUAGCUCGUCAACUCACUAAAGUCACUGAUCAAAUAGGUCCAACAAACUUUGGCUUACGUAAACGUCGAUGUUCUGUUGAAAAUAAGUCUUCCGAUAGUUCGGCUGGGAGCACCCCUCCCGCAUCUGGCGCCAGCACACCGUUGAGACAAGUGACGACAACGAACAAAACCGUCAAACAUCCAGACAUUCCAAUCAUUAGGACAGAUUCUUCAGAAUGCAGAGUUUCAGAGAAGGAGGUAACUGCAGAAGAAGAUGAACAAGCUUUUGAAACUGGAGGUCCGAGACAGACCGAGCAUGUCGAAAUUUGUCAAAUGUUUUGGACAAAAAGCGUCCAAUUAAAACCAAUCAUUCCCUUCGACGAAGAAACAGAUUUCAAGCUAAAUGAGAAUCAUAAAUAUCUUAACAUCAAUGUUUGGGUCACAGUGCCAGGCGAAAAGGAAGAAGUAUUGUUGGGAUAUCUGAAUAUUCCAUUGGCAGCGUUACUUUCUGAAUGUCAAGACUCUACAGUUCCUCAUCAUAUGAAGCGAUAUCAAUUCUUGCCCCCCGAUGUUGAUAUUAAGUUCAGCAAAAGCCACAAGCUAGCAUCGCACGCGGGCUUCGAGCCGUGCCUGUGCUUCGGCGACGCGCUCGUGUGGUGGGAGUGGGAGGGCGGCGGCGCGGCCCGCAGCGCCCCGCGCGCGCGCGCCCCCGUGCCUCCCCGCGCCGCGCCCGCGCCCGCCGCGCACGACUUCGUGCGCACGCACUUCCACCGCUCCACGCAGUGCGACUUCUGCAACAAGAAGAUCUGGCUAAAGGAUGCAAUGCAAUGUCGGAACUGCGGACUGUGCUGUCACAAGAAAUGUGUUGCCAAGUGUCAAGAAUCCUCUCCAUGUGUGCCGAAACAAGAUAGAGAGCCUUCAACGGGUUCCGGGUGCCAACCACCAGAGCUCAUCAUGACCGAGGCUGAUGUUAUAGAUCCUGACUCUGAUGAUGAUGAAAAAGCCGAAAGAAAAGAUUCCCUUGAUGUUCACGAAGAAGACGAGCUAUUCAAUACUGAGGAGUGGUAGUUAGCACCUGGAUUUUCUUCGAUAUAUAUCAGCAGGGCUUCGGCGCGCCGGCUCCGCGCACUCACUGUCCGCGCCCAAAGCCAAUGCCUCUUCGAGAUCGCUCCCACCUUCACCGAGCCACACGCCCAGUGUCUGUGUCGCAAAGGAG
rnacentral:misc_RNA from 1 species